rnacentral:lncRNA from 1 species
UGCUUCUCCCUCCUCCUGGAACAGCACCCUCCAAAAGUGGAGGAAUGCUGUCUACCUGGGAUGGUUCCUUCAGGUGCCCUUUUCCAAUGGGCUUUAUUUCCUAAUUCACACCUUUCCCAGUCCCUACCAGUUUUUCUCAAUCUGCCUGCUUCCAGUAACUCUGAGAAGAGCAGAUACAAGGCUCCAGUCCUCUUCUCUUUACUCUGAGGGGCCCCUCCCCGUGGCUAAUAAAACGGACUUCCCUGCCCUCCUCAUCACCAACCCCACACUGAGCCCUUCUGUUUCAGUUAGCCAGGACUGUCUCCCACAUACGCCCUCUCAAGACUAAACCGGGAAGAAGUUGAAUCCCUGAAUAGACCAGUAACAAGUUCUGAAACUGAGGCAGUGAUUAAUAGCCUACCAACCAAAAAAAGCCCAGGACCAGACGGAUUCACAGCCGAAUUCUACCAGAGGUACAAAGAGGAGCUGGUACCAUUACUUCUGAAACUAUUCCAAACAAUAGAAAAAGAGGGACUCCUUCCUAAUUCAUUUUAUGAGGCCAGCAUCAUCCUGAUACCUAAAUGUGGCAGAAACGCAACAAAAAAAAUUUCAGGCCAAUAUCUCUGAUGAACAUCAAUGCGAAAAUACUCAAUAAAAUACUGGCAAACUGAAUCCAGCAGCACAUCAAAAAGUUUAUCCACCACGAUCAAGUUGGCUGCAUCCCUGGGAUGCAAGGCUAGUUCAACAUACGCAAAUCAAUAAACAUAAUCCAUCACAUAAACAGAACCAAUGACAAAACCCACAUGAUUAUCUAAUAGAUGCAGAAAAGGCCUUCGACAAACUUUAACA